rnacentral:rRNA from 1 species
CCUACGGUGGGCAGCAGUGAGGAAUAUUGGUCAAUGGCCGUAAGGCUGAACCAGCCAAGUCGCGUGAAGGAAGAAGGGUUUCGGCUCGUAAACUUCUAUCAACAGGGACGAAAGAAAUGACGGUACCUGAAUAAGAAGCCCCGGCUAACUACGUGCCAGCAGCCGCGGUAAUACGUAGGGGGCAAGCGUUAUCCGGAAUUACUGGGUGUAAAGGGUGAGUAGGCGGCAUGGUAAGCCAGAUGUGAAAGCCUUGGGCUUAACCCGAGGAUUGCAUUUGGAACUAUCAAGCUAGAGUACAGGAGAGGAAAGCGGAAUUCCUAGUGUAGCGGUGAAAUGCGUAGAUAUUAGGAAGAACACCAGUGGCGAAGGCGGCUUUCUGGACUGAAACUGACGCUGAGGCACGAAAGCGUGGGGAGGGAACAGGAUUAGAUACCCCUGUAGUC